UACGUAGGGUGCAAGCGUUGUCCGGAAUUAUUGGGCGUAAAGAGCUCGUAGGCGGUUUGUUGCGUCGAAUGUGAAAACCCGGGGCUCAACUCCGGGCCUGCAUUCGAUACGGGCAGACUAGAGUUCGGUAGGGGAGACUGGAAUUCCUGGUGUAGCGGUGAAAUGCGCAGAUAUCGGGAGGAACACCGGUGGCGAAGGCGGUUCUCUGGGCCUUGCCUGACGCUGAGGAGCGAAAGCGUGGGGAGCGAACAGG
rnacentral:rRNA from 1 species